GGGUCAGUAGGUUGGUCGUGCCACCGGUACGUACUGGUCUCACUGAUUCCUCCCUCCUGAAGAACCGUAAUGCCAUUAAUUUGGUGUUGCGGGGAAACAGGACUGUUACUUUGAAAAAAUUAGAGUGUUUAAAGCAAGCUAACGCUUGAAUACAUUAGCAUGGAAUAAUGGAAUAGGACGAUCGAUCCUAUUUUGUUGGUUUCUAGGAUUGACGUA
rnacentral:rRNA from 1 species